rnacentral:misc_RNA from 1 species
UUUAGCCUAGCUCACAUUAGGCUACAUGUUACAUAACUUAUACAUCACAAAUUUCUCAACAGAAUGUCAAAAACCCUCUCAGGUAUCAAAAGAAGAUUCUCCUACUAGGAGUUGCUUGUUGCUCCGUCGUGGUUGCAGGCGGUGGUGGUGCUGCUGCUCUUGUGCUCGUGCCUUGCGAUUUGGGAUCCAUCAACAAGGCCUCCUGAAAUGUUUGCGAGAACCCGGUUGCGAUUAUCGUCACAUGAAUCUCGCCAGUGUACCGAUCAUCAAUCACAGCACCAAAUAUUAUGUUUGCGGA